rnacentral:rRNA from 1 species
UACGAAGGGGGCUAGCGUUGUUCGGAUUUACUGGGCGUAAAGCGCGUGUAGGCGGGCCGUUAAGUUGGGGGUGAAAUCCCGGAGCUCAACUCCGGAACUGCCUCCAAAACUGGCGGCCUGGACUCAAGCAGAGGCAAGUGGAAUUGCGAGUGUAGAGGUGAAAUUCGUAGAUAUUCGCAGGAACACCAGUGGCGAAGGCGACUUGCGGGGCUUGUAGUGACGUUGAGACGCGAAAGCGUGGGGAGCAAACAGG